rnacentral:rRNA from 1 species
UACGAAGGGGGCUAGCGUUGUUCGGAUUUACUGGGCGUAAAGCGCACGUAGGCGGAUCGUUAAGUCGGGGGUGAAAUCCUGGAGCGCAACUCCAGAACUGCCUUCGAUACUGGCGAUCUUGAGUCCGGAAGAGGUGAGUGGAACUCCUAGUGUAGAGGUGAAAUUCGUAGAUAUUAGCUAGAACACCAGUGGCGAAGGCGGCCAACUGGUCCGGUACUGACGCUGAGGUGCGAAAGCGUGGGGAGCAAACAGG